GACAUAGCAAGAAGUUUACUUUUUUUAAUUAGUAAUGGCAUAGGACAAAUAGCUAUAGCUUAUAUGCAUCUAUACAUAACAUAAAUAAAGUUUAUUUUGGUGGAUACUUUUUACGUAACCAUCCAUUGUCUAUGCACACCAUAUCUUACCACUUAUUACUUUAAGAAGAGAUGAGAAUGGAGUGCUGUUUAUCGACAGAGAUCCAAAGAUUUCUUCAGUCAUUUUUAACUAUCUGCGAAUUACAGAUAUUGAUCUGAAAAGUGUAAAUAUUCGUAUGUUAAGGCAUGGAGCUGAGUAUUAUGGCAUGACUCCACUGGUAAAAAGACUGAUUCUUUGGGAAGAUUUAUCUCAAUUUUCAUGUGGAGAUGUUUUGUUUUAUGGUUAUUUGCCACCUUCAAACAUUUUAUUGCAAGAGCCUCUUAGCGUAUCUCCAAGUAUUAGUGAUGUGUCUGUACAUGGUAGACCACCAGGAGCUAUUUCAACGCUUCUUUCUAGAGCUGAAACACUAUCACCAUUGCAACCUACAGCUAAUGCUAAUAAUUCUCCUGCUCAACUUUCUAAUUGACAAAUAUUGAAUCUUAAGUGCGUCUUUGUUUAAAUCUUUUUUGCAGAGAUUAGUAGUAUAUUUGGAGGAGUUGCUGUACUUUCACAACAGAAGGGAUACGAAGAAGUUUUGUUUAUGUUUACAAGAGCAAGAAGGUGUUCAUUAAGGCUUUUAAGAAAUGACCAAUUAUUUUGGGAUGUCUUUUGAUUGAGGGUGGCUAUAACAUACAUACAUGUACUAUAGAAGUGGGUAUGAGAUGGUUCAUGUUUUAUUUAAAGUAAAAUAGACAUUUCUAUGGAAACAACAUUGCAGGUCAAGGAUUAAUCGAUAAGAUGAGAAGUUGAUAUCUGUUCAAGUAAUUGUUAUGGAACAGUUUAAAGAGUUUGGAUGACAAGUGGAGUUUAUUCUGGUUUAGAUUUUAGCCAUCGUUUGAUAUUUGGUUCUGGAAUUCUAUUACGGAUAGG